rnacentral:rRNA from 1 species
AAACAACUCUCGGCAACGGAUAUCUCGGCUCUCGCAUCGAUGAAGAACGUAGCGAAAUGCGAUACUUGGUGUGAAUUGCAGAAUCCCGUGAACCAUCGAGUCUUUGAACGCAAGUUGCGCCCAAAGCCCUCGGGCUAAGGGCACGUCUGCCUGGGUGUCACGC